AUUUUUCAAUCCAUAGCAAACAAAAUAAACAUAUGUCCGCGACGGGAAUCGGGAUGCGUCAUGUCCUGGAGGCUGCGAUGUUCACAUAGAUCACAAUUCACUUUUCACUCUGUGUCUAGUAUUAUUGUGGAAUGUGGUGAUCUAAAUUCUUAAAACGCGUACGCAAAACGUGAAUCGUGAUCGCUUACGCCUUACAGUCUAUUUAUUUAUUUAUUUAUAUAAUACACACCUAAGUAAUUAUAGUUCAUGAUUCAUAACUAUAUAUAUACAGUUUACGAUCACUUUUCUGGUUUCGGUUCUAGAAUAUUCUACCUACCUACAAGUUACGUUCGAAGGGAUAUUAGGCGACUUCACUUGUAUACGUGUCGUUGCUCGAUAGUCGUUACGUGACCUCGUUUGAGUUUAUCAUGUCUUCUCGUCUGUUGCGUCAUGUGAACAUAUUUUCGUGCAUUUUGUGUAUGGCCAUCUGUCAGUUUAGAUACGGUUUUGUAGAUCUCAACAGAGUAUAGUACCAAGUAAUUCCCGUGAUUUCGCUGGAUCCACAAUGGAAGAAAUAGACGGAAUUAUUUUUUUCACUCUCAAAGGAAUCGGAUGUGAGUUCUCAGAAAAUGAAACUUCUUUGGCCAACAUGACUCAAGAAAAUUUUAUAAAAUCCGUCAUAAAAUGUUUACAAAAAAUACAGCCAUCGAUAAAAAUAUCAAAUACAAUUCCUAGAUCUAUGUCUGCUCGAUAUCAAUAUGGCAUCACUGUAGCCGAAGCUUGCAAAAAAGUUGGUUACAAAUCUGAUAUUGGAUAUCAAACAAUUCUAUAUGGUAAUAUAGUUGAUAUGAGGAGGAUCUUAAUGUUUUUGAUAGAAAAAUUACCAAAAGACACUGAAAAUAUUGUAGAGUUGAAAAGUCGACGAUUUGCAAUACUAAAAACAUUGAAAGAAAGUUUAUCUUCUGAGAGGGUCAAAACAAAUAUUUUGUAUUCUCCACAACACCCAUUUGUUUCUGUUCCAUUAGAAACUGGUAUAAGCAUACCUGGGUACACUCGAAAAUGUACCCCAGCAGAAUGGAAAAAUUUUUGUGUCAAUAAUUUAAAAUUUAUCACCGAACAACCAUCAGAUCUAAAAUGUUUGGUUCCUUCAAUAAUAACUCUCAAUGUUAGUCGAUUACUAAACAUUUAUGAAUUUAAGAAAGCCAAUCCAUGUGCCUCCUUAUCUCAGUAUGAAGAAACAAGCAGCAAUACAAAUGUAAAUAAUGUAUCAAGAAAAAAUAGUGAAAUUUCAAUUGCAAAAGACUCUAGUAUUUUUAAAAAUGUAACACCAAAACAAGAUUCCAAGUCAUCAAUUAUCGAGAAACUAAUAGCUGAAAAACAAAAUUUAAAACAAUUAAUUGUUCAAGAAAAUUCCAAUAAUAAAAACCGCAAGACUGACCUAGAAAUGUUAAAAAAAAAAUACUCUGUUCAUGAAAAGAGCUUGAAUAUAGUAAAUAAUCCUGUUAUAAUUGAUAAAUUAAAAAAUAAAAUCAAGGCAUCACCAGAAAAAUUAGAAAAAAUGAAAAAUAAAUGGAAUCUUUAUGCAGUUGAACAGAAAUCAGUAAUAUCGGAGUUAAAAGAAGAACUGAAUAAAAAAAAUGCCAACAACAAUAGGUUAGAAUCAGUGUACACAAAUGAAAAGUUAAAACUUCAAACCAUAUUCGAUGAAAUUAAGAAAAAAGAAAAUUUAAUAAAAUUAUGCAGAAAUGAUUUGGAGUCUAAAUCCAAUUAUAAUUCAAGAUCUAGUUACACGCUAAGAAUAUUAGAAAUAAUUUCAAAUAUUGAAAAACAAAAAAAAGAGAUAAAUAAGAAUUUGAGUGAUACAAGAUUAGUUCAAAAAGACAUUAAUUCAUUAGAUGGAAAAGUAGAGCGAUGUUUCAUCUUAAUUGAUGAACUUAUGUUUAAGGUAGCUAAAAAAGAUGAAACAAUUAGAAAAUGUUACAAACUAUUAGCAGCUAUACACGCCAACAGUUCAAGUAUUGUGCAAUCAGUGAAACAAACUGGAGCCAUCAGACGAGAGAUUAAGGACUUAGAAGAACAGAUUGAAUGUGAAAACGCGAGGCAUGCAACUACAAAUAUACAAAAACUAAAAAAAGAUAUGGAGUUGGUCCAAAACGAACAAACAAUGAUGAUUAAAAAACUAGAAAGUUUAAAAUCAUGUUGCUGAAUAGCAUACACCAAAAUUCACAAACUAUAUCAAUGAUAGGUUAAAUUUAUGUUUGUUAACUUGAAUUAAAUUAUCAUGAACCAUAUUCCAGUCCGAGUGGACAGCAUGAAUAGUAGCAUGACAAAAAGAAUGUUUCUGUAUGGAUUUAUAUAUAUUUAGGAUAUGAUGAUGACACCCGACUGAUCGACUGAUAAUGACACGAAAGCAGAUAAAAAAUACCAAAUGAAUGACAAAGAUAUUCUUUAAAUAGAUUUCAAACUGGGUUCAAACCCUUUGGGCGAGUAACGCAAUAAAAAUAUUUAUAACUCAUACAUACCCUAAUUUAUAUUUUUUUUUAAUAUGACUUGUUAAUCUUGAAUGAAUGUUUUUCGCAAAAACAAAUUCAAAAUUUUACAUCUGAGUUUGAACACAUGGCGUCCCUGAAUUUGAGUACAAUAUUGCUAAUAAUAUUUUAACACUUUACACCUUCAAAACUUUAACGUAUCCUGAACUAGAACACAAAUCAAGUAUUAAUAUUAUAACGAAUAUUAGUAAAAUAUAUUUUUAAAAAAUUGUUGCAAAUCAUUAAUACUACAUAAAAUAUCGGCCGCUGAAUCAACCAAAAAAGACAAUGGCUGACAAUUAUCGAAUUAAGAGUAUCCACUGCUCAUUCAGUAUCGGAACUCAAAAACGAUACCUAACGCAGAUUACAAAAAUGGUAGAAUAUAAUAGUUACACUUUAUGGGAAAAACGUCGUAUAACUUCUUUUAAGUAACGCAAUAAAAGUAUUAAUAAACCAUUUUAAAAGUUCUACUUAAUUAUCUUAUAUUAAAUAUCGCUUGUUUUUUCUUAAUAACUAUAUCUGUCUGGUUAAGUAUUGCGGAACGAUUAACUUAUGUAGAAGUAUCUUUACAUA